UCCCUUAGAUUUAAAUUGGAGCUGUGCUUCGUCUCUCUCCUCAGUUGGUAAAAGAACAUCUUGUGUGUGAGAAAGAUGCUGAGUAUCAUCUUCAGACAUAUCCGCUUGCUACUAAUUCUUUGUGAAUGGAGGCUGCAAAACACGGGAGAGAGGAUUAUUCCUGCUUUCUGCACAAACUGACCUCCAACUGGAUUCCACCUACAUCUGCCUUCCACCUGGACACAUGAGAGCUUAAAUGCUGACUGCCCUUCCAUCUUCCUAAGCCACUGUCUAAAACUCUUUUUCUGCAUAGAUUCUGUCAGCUUUCCGCCCCGUGAUAUCCGACAACACUCAAAAUGAGAUCAAACAAUACCAUUUAGCAGCUAGGCUAUGACCCUAAUUUGCUUCAUUAUGAUACAUUAGCUAUCUGACUAUCAGGAGGAUAUUAGCCUAGACCUGUGACUUGGCUUUUUAUGCUAAUCCAUUGUGGGAGAGCUGAUUCAGAAGCACUUAAUCUGGCCUUAUAUUGAUAUUGAAGCUACCGAUUCGAGUCCUUUAAAUCAAUUUGGCAGCUCAGCUGUAUGGGGCCCCCAACGAUUCUCCAACUGGAUAUCUGGCUGAAAAUCAUCCCACCAUUGUAAUUUGAUUGUUUGCAAGCAAGUGCAAGGAGAUUAUUAAAAAUAUGUAGUGUUCUUUUUAGGUUCCAAUAUCCUAUAUGCAUCUUUAUUGUGAUAAGUUUGUCCAACAAUGGCUGUUUUUUUGGCUGCUUUUAAAAAAGCUCUUUAAGGUGCAAGGUAUAAUUUUCCAUUUUCAGACAAAGACAACCUGGGUGCACGUCAUGUUUUUUGAAGGUUUUUAGUUGUAAUUUUUAACAAUAACAAAAAAGAAUGAGAAAACUAGUAGUACAGUAGGUGGUAGUGGUUGCUGUGGGCAGCCUAUGGCUAGGUAAGACUGUUUGUACAGUUCAAGUUGUGAAUUCACCAAUUUAAUUAAUCUGGAUAUGGAUGGAGAAGAGGGGACCCAUCGAAUGGAGGGUCGCUGCUUUUUGGGGGUAAAAAAGAAGUGCACUUAUUCAUACAUACCCAGCAAGCAUGUGUAGAAGAUGUGUUUAGGAGUUGAAAUAAUGAAAGUUCAACCAAUACAAGUUUCACGAUUUUUUGCCAAAAUCUCUGGGUAUCCAAAUGACCACAUUAAGGGGCGGAUUUAUUAAAAUUCACCUAUUCAUUCCUAUUGGAUUUUUAAAAGUGUAUUUUUCAGUGGGUGAAAGUUAAAAAUCCCAUAAGAAUGAAUACAACUUUGGUGAGUUGUUAUUUAUUAAGCUCCAAGCUCACAUAUUGAUAAAUCUGCCCCUAAAUGUAGGAAGUCUGCCUCUGGAGUAAUGCAUCUGAGGCAUCUGCAAUGGUCAGCCCUACCCAUAGUAUUUAGUUUCAGUGGCAUCAGAUAGAUUUAAUGGAUAAUUUUAAAAUAAAUUAAUUUGUCUCUAUUACUGAUGAGAGGGUGGUAUAUAUUAUCUUCUACUUCAUCCUAGUCAUUAGGUGGAUUCCACUGGUCUCCCACUUGAGUUUAACUCUGGGUUCUUAUUUGUUAGUAGUUAAGUAGGUGGAAGCCUUAGAAAGCAGUUUAUGGUUCCUUGCAAUGGUAAUUAUAGAUUCCAUAUUAAUGUACUGUAUGUUAGGAAGCCUACCUGAAAAUUGUGUGGCAUAGAGAUGGUACAUUUGAAUUGGUUUAAAGACUUCUCCAUAAGGUGUUGGAGCCGUUUUUGAAAGCAGAUUUAUCAAAGUGUGAAGUUAGUGCUCACCACAGAAAAAUUCACCCACCUUCUAUUCAUUACUUUGGGAUUUUUAAAGGUGUAUUUAUCAAAUAGCAUUUGAUAAAUGCUCUUCUAAAAACUCCAUAAGAAUGAAUCAAAAGUGUGUGAAUUUUUCUGUGGUAAGCUCUAAUUUCACACUUACAUAACAACAUAAACUCGUAAAGUCAUUAUUGGUAUCUCUUCCUCUUUAGUUUUGGCCUUGCACAUUGUAUCCAUCUCUGUAUAGAAAUGUUCCAAAUAUUACACCACCAGAAUUUGCAGUUUUAUAACCUUUAUGCCUCUAAAGUGGGACAUAAGCCAGAUUACACCAA